UGGGGAAUUUUGGACAAUGGGGGAAACCCUGAUCCAGCCAUUCCGCGUGAGUGAAGAAGGCCUUCGGGUUGUAAAGCUCUUUCGGCAGGAACGAAACGGUUACGGAUAAUACCCGUGACUACUGACGGUACCUGAAGAAGAAGCACCGGCUAACUACGUGCCAGCAGCCGCGGUAAUACGUAGGGUGCGAGCGUUAAUCGGAUUUACUGGGCGUAAAGCAUGCGCAGGCGGCGGUUCAAGUCAGGUGUGAAAUCCCCGAGCUUAACUUGGGAAUUGCGCUUGAAACUAGAUCGCUAGAGUACGGCAGAGGGGGGUAGAAUUCCACGUGUAGCAGUGAAAUGCGUAGAUAUGUGGAGGAACACCGAUGGCGAAGGCAGCCCCCUGGGCCUGUACUGACGCUCAUGCAUGAAAGCGUGGGGAGCAAACAGGAUUAGAUACCCACGUAGUCCCUGAGCGGGCUGGCAAGGCGCAU
rnacentral:rRNA from 1 species